rnacentral:rRNA from 1 species
CGAACCACGUUGCUGUUGAAAAAGCAUGGGAUGAGCUGUGGAUAGCGGAGAAAUUCCAAUCGAACCCGGAGAUAGCUGGUUCUCUCCGAAAUAGCUUUAGGGCUAGCGUCGAGUAUGAGUAGUGGAGGUAGAGCACUGAAUGGGCUAGGGGGCAUAGCGCUUACCGAACCUUAUCAAACUCCGAAUGCCACAUACUUUGAGCUCGGCAGUCAGACUACGAAUGAUAAGAUCCGUGGUCAAAAGGGAAACAGCCCAGAUCGUCAGCUAAGGUCCCAAAGUGUAAGUUAAGUGGGAAAGGAUGUGAGAUUUCUAAGACAACUAGGAUGUUGGCUUAGAAGCAGCCAUUCAUUAAAAGAGUGCGUAAUAGCUCACUAGUCGAGAGAUCUUGCGCCGAAAAUGUAACGGGGCUAAACUUACCACCGAAGCUACGGGCUUGAACUUAUGUUCAAGCGGUAGGAGAGCGUCGUAACCGGGCUGAAGUCGUACCGUAAGGAGCGGUGGACUGGUUACGAGUGAGAAUGUUGGCAUCAGUAGCGAGAUGUGGGUGAGAAUCCCACAGGCCGAAAACCUAAGGUUUCCUCAGGAAGGUUCGUCCGCUGAGGGUUAGUCGGGACCUAAGCCGAGGCCGAAAGGCGUAGGUGAUGGACAACUGGUUGAUAUUCCAGUACCACUACCAUCGUUAUUAUCGAUGGCGUGACGCAGGAGGAUAGUGUGUGCUAGCUAUUGGAUGCUAGUCUAAGCGUUUAGGCAGUGAGAGUAGGCAAAUCCGCUCUCAUAAUGCUGAGGCGUGAUGGGGAAGGUUCUACGGAACCGAAGUACAUGAUUCCACGCUGCCAAGAAAAGCGUCUAGAGAGAGAAGUAGUGCCCGUACCGCAAACCGACACAGGUAGGUGAGGAGAGAAUCCUAAGGCCGGCGGAAGAAUUACAGUUAAGGAACUCGGCAAAUUGACCCCGUAAGUUCGCGAGAAGGGGUGCCUACGAGAGUAGGCCGCAGAGAAUAGGCCCAAGCAACUGUUUAGCAAAAACACAGGUCUCUGCUAAAGCGUAAGCUGAUGUAUAGGGGCUGACGCCUGCCCGGUGCUGGAAGGUUAAGGGGAACACUUAGCGCAAGCGAAGGUGUGAACUUAAGCCCCAGUAAACGGCGGCCGUAACUAUAACGGUCCUAAGGUAGCGAAAUUCCUUGUCAGGUAAGUUCUGACCCGCACGAAUGGCGUAAUGACUUGGGCACUGUCUCAACUGUAAAUCCGGCGAAGUUGUAGUGCGAGUGAAGAUGCUCGCUACCCGCGAUUGGACGGAAAGACCCCGUAGAGCUUUACUGUAGCUUAGCAUUGAGUUUUGGUAUUGUCUGUACAGGAUAGGUGGGAGACUAGGAAACCAGGGCGUCAGCCUUGGUGGAGUCAACCUUGGGAUACCACCCUGACAGUACUGAAAU